rnacentral:rRNA from 1 species
GACGAACGCUGGCGGCGUGCCUAACACAUGCAAGUCGAGCGGGAAGCUUUUAAUUGAGACUUCGGUUGAUUUUGAAAGUGGAGAGCGGCGGACGGGUGAGUAACGCGUGGAGAACCUGCCUCGUACUGGGGGAUAACAGUUGGAAAUGACUGCUAAUACCGCAUAAGCACACAGUAUCGCAUGGUACAGUGUGAAAAACUCCGGUGGUAUGAGAUGGACCCGCGUCUGAUUAGCUAGUUGGUGAGGUAACGGCUCACCAAGGCAACGAUCAGUAGCCGGCCUGAGAGGGUGAACGGGCCACAUUGGGACUGAGACACGGCCCAAAACGUCCUACGGGAGGCAGCAGUGGGGAAUAUUGGCACAACUGGGGGAAACCCU